rnacentral:lncRNA from 1 species
AUCGCCUGAGCGCUCGGGCGCCAGGCGGUGGCACCGCUCGGUUUGGUGGUGGCACCGCCCGAGACACCCUAUAAAUCCCAAAUGGUUAGGGCCGGCGGUGACACCGCCCCCAACCCGUGGAAGCCUUGCUCCAACUCUCCCAAACUCUCUCAAUCCCUCAUUCUAACCUCUACAAACCUUGGAGAGGGAUUCUUGUUGGUCCAAGCUCUCCAUCAUCCAAGAAACACUCC